AAAGAGAUCUUUGGUUUUGCCUUUGCUGACUGCUGAUCUGAUCGUCUCAAGUCUGGUGACCUGCUGCAGAAAACCCUCUCCCUCUAUCAUUAACAAGCAAUUCAGUCUGUCCUAUCACUCUCCCUCUCCCUGCUCCAUCUUUUUUGACAAGCCAUUCUAUCUUCUAUCAUUUCUCCGCCAUGAGCUCUAUCUAAUUUGACAAGCUUGAACCUGAGUUGAAAAGCAAAACAAGUUUGCCUGAAACCAAGUUUGCCUGAAACCAAGUUUGCCUGAAACCAAGUUUGCCUGAAACCAAGUUUGAGAAAAACCAAGUUUGAGAAAAACCAAGUUUGAGAAAAACCAAGUUUGAGAAACCCAAGUUUGAGAAACCCAAGUUUGAGAAGAAACCAAGUUUUUGGAAUUGAAGUUACCACAACUUCAUCGAUCUGUUUUCAGAAUUCGGAGAGAUCUCCGCUCUCACUGCUCCAUCUUUCCUGUCAUUAAACUCUCUCAUAUCCACUCAUUUUGCUGGAAAUUACAAGUAAAAAGUUGAAUAUACAGUAUUAGAAUUAGAGUACAGUAGAACUCACUGUAGAAACUACUUACAGAGCCCUACAUUUGUCAUUUUAAUUUUGCAUUAGACUUUGAAAUAAGCACUGAUAGUUUGGCUUACAAGUGCAAUUUGAUAAAUUAUAUAAACUUAUAUACACCUUUUUUUGAGAUAUAUUUGUAGUAAGAUAAUCUGGUUAUUUUGUAAUUCAGACUGUUAUAUUCACAUAAAUAUUAAAUUUGAUUCAAAUACA